AGGUCAAUGAUGUGCCGUAUCGUGUUUGCGUCUCGGAAGAAAGAACAGGAACAUCUACGAAAGAAGGUGAAAUGGACUAGCGUGGAAGGAAAGAAAAGAGAACUUGACGAUAGUUGGCGCGAUGAUACGAUCUCUCAUCAGCAAUAUGAAGCUAACAAAGCUCGACUGUACUUUUGCUUCCUUUAUUUGAGACAAAAGCACGUUUGCCACGGAAAUUCGACAGCGAUUCCGAUUAAAAAAUUACGUUCGACUGGCAACGCCGAUAAAUAUUUUAUCCCAGAUUAAAUGGAAAAUCAUGUUGGCCGGUGCCCAUUGUGCAAUCUACGAUCCUUGUUCACUUUCGCGUUGUCGUCACCGUGCUCGUCGUCGUCGGCGUCGUCGUCGUUGUCGUCGUCGUCAUGAUUCCUGGUGUAGAAAUCUCUCUUUGCCCGUUUCCUCUUUGUCCUCGAUCGACGAUUCCCGAGGUCCUUUAAUAACGACCAUCGGUGAUUUAUCGACAACGCCACGAAGAGUGGUCCGCCGCAGCACCAGAUUCCCAGAUAGAUGGACACGGUUGGGAACAGUUGGCUAUGUAAUAAAACGACGAAAUAAUGAUGGUGCAUCAACUUUCUCCUCGCUUUCAAAUCAUUCCUAAUUGAACCAGAACAAACUCUAAUUGAAAGUAUUAUCGAGUAAACAAAAAGGAAAUAUCCACUUCCGCAUCCUGAACUUCCGAUCGCAUGGAAUCCUCAUUAGACACGUGGCGAAAUGGAGAAAAGAAAAUUCCUUUUCCCCUGUAUCCGGAAACUGGUCAAGGGAAUCCCAACAGAAACGAUAUCAGUGAUCUUCACGUGAAAUUUUCCUUUGUCAGAUGUUAAUCAGCUAUUCGAUUGAUCAUAACGAUCGCAUAAAAUGAUGAUAAUUAGAAAACGA